CCAUCCUAGCAGCCAGCGUCGCCCAUGUUACCAGCUUGUGGAAGGAGUCCUAGGGGAAUCGGUGACUUGAAAGGCAUUUUUUCAAAGGAGCAGAGAACUGCACCUGUGGAGCAGAGAACACCAGGCAGAGCAAGGCAAGGAGGAAGGACUUGAUCCUGAAGAGGUGUGACAGUGCCUAUGGCUAGCAGAAGUUACCUGUAAGCCCCUGCCAAGUGUGCUGAACAUAAUGCUUAGCUGCUCC